CCUGCGCAAAGAACGGUAAACAUAUCCAAUGGAAGUCCACGUGUUUUCUAGAAAGGGCGGCCUACAGUCACCUGUUUUCGUUAUUACUCGAUUAAAUGUGCGUCAUUAGUGAUUGUCAUCCACACAGAUGUGAGUGACAAGCGGCGCACUACACUAAAUGUUCUGUUCAGAGACCGUCAUCGUCUUUUUACAUGGAUACAAAUGAGGUUACAGGAGGACUGCAGCCGACUUCAGUCCAGGAGGAACUGAGCUCACUGCUGAAGCUCAGUGAAGACAGGUGGACCCGCGGUCUUUGCAGAGUACAAGCAGCAGAAGGAGGAGCCCUGCUACCUGACCGAACACACUCCAUUUAAAGAAGCUGACAAUGUGGAAGAUUUCUGUAUUCAACACAAUCAAAGAGUGCCUCAAAUAACAGUCAUCCAAACAAGAACAGUUAUUCUGGCAGUUUUUCCUUGAAUGUUUGCAAAUGCUGUUGUCUUGUUGAGGGGGAUAAUACAACAGAUUUUUCUUUUGGAGAAUUAAAGCUUUCACCUGACAGUGUGCGCACCUUGCUAAUAUUUACACACACUCACUAAUAUGCAGCUCAGUAUCAGAGCGGUAAUAUGGAAGAUUAUACUGGUUGAUGACUGCACAUGACAAGAAUUGCAGACUAAUUAAGAAAUAGAGUUGAAAAACAUGGAUAAGAAAAUAUUAAUUGUGUGCAAUUCCAUAAGACUGAGCAAUAUCCAUGACUCCAAAACAAGAACAACACUUUUAGCAAUUUUUGCUUUUAAUGUUUCAAGUCUGAAAGUAUUGUUGUGUCGGGAAAAAUUGCACACACUGAACCCUCUAUAUAUCCCUAUAAAUAAGAUUGUUGCAAGAUCAUUGAAUCAACCUGAGAACUGAAUUCCUCUUUUGGAGACUCAAAGCUUUUCCUUCAGAGUGUGCAAACCUUGCUAAUAUUUACACAUACUUGGCAAGAUCUCACAUAAUGAUUUGACUGCACCAAAUAUAUCAUCAGUUCCCAUCUGAUCUCAUGUCAUGUUAUGGGUGACACUAACUUGUAAGUGAUGGAGUAAUUAAUAAUACCCAGUUAUCAUAAUAAAUGUCUCACCAUCAGCACUGACCCUGGUCUGAAUAACAAUAUAAUAGAAGCUGUAACAGUAUGAUGGUGGAAUUAACGAGGGAUCACGCUUGACAAUGCUCUUAAUGAAACACUGGUCAGUCUUUGUCACUUGCGUUUUUAAUUCUCGGGACUAAUAAAAGGGUACGAAAAACAA